UGAUAUGCAAAUACGAGUCCCCUCCUUCU
rnacentral:piRNA from 1 species